GAACGCACAUUGCGCCCUUUGGUAUUCCGAAGGGCAUGCCUGUUCGAGCGUCAUUAUCACCCCUCAAGCCCUCGGCUUGGUGUUGGACGGUUUGGUGGAGGCCCCCUCGGGGGCUCCUGCCCCUCCCAAAGACAAUGACGGCGGCCUCGUUGGACCCCCGGUACACUGAGUUCUUCACGGGACACGUAUCGGACACAUGGGUUUACGGGACACGGUCUGCCUCCCCUCAGGGAGAAUCUUUUUUUAUCAAGGUUGACCUCGGAUCAGGUAGGGAUACCCGCUGAACUUAAG
rnacentral:misc_RNA from 1 species